GCUUUCCUCCUCUAGACAUGAACCUGCGCAAGGCUUGUAAAUAAUUAUUACUUGUUAAAUCGCUUACCAAUUCCAAAUGAAUAGCUUUAAAAAUAAUAAUAAUAAUA